CCUGACUCCAGGCUGUCGGAAGCUUCUCAGAGAAGAGUGUGCCUUCUAACGUGAGGAGAAUCAGAGUUGGAUUAGGGAUCCCCAAACUUUGAUCAUCGUCAUCACCGGGAGUGCUUUUUUAAAGGUGCUGUUGUAACCCCAUCUCACACAUGAGGAAAUAGCUAUGCAAACACCAUCUGGUUUCUCAGUGAGCACAGAGGAAGGACCACCAGUGGCCUGGGAUGGACAAGAAGAGGUUCAGGACGAGAUGGGAAUUUUGCCAAGACUUGCGGGGUGAAGAUAGGUUAGAUGAAGACAAAAUGGAACAGGAUGAUGCCUGGCAGAAAGAAGGAUUACCAGUCUACUUGAGAAGAUGGGAAGGAAUCAAGAUGUCUUUUGGAAGCCAGUGAUGGGAGACCCUCUGGAGAGCCACAAAAGAACAAUUUGUUCAUCCAGCAUGGAGAGCAGUGUCGGAAGAAUUGAUUUAUGUUUCGGCAUCUCGGUAGAAGAAGAGAAAGCAGCCCAGGAAACGAAGGCAGAAAGUUCCGGGCCUCCCUCAUCAUUAAUGGGAUUGUGCAACGUCUGAGGGUUGACCUCACCUCUGAGGGUCUCCAUUUUCCUGUCCUGCACAUGAAGAUUACACGCAUGCCUCAGUCUACUCAGGGAGGAUGGAAGUGAUGGACACGGCUAGUGCUUCAUGAAAGCUCUUUUAGCAUUUGGAAGGCGGAGAUGUUGCAUAGAUACAAGGUGUUCUUAUAGAAGGAUAAUCAUUUCUCUUGGGCAAUCGUCAUGACACCGGGAAAACUUAUCUUCUAUUACAGUUCAAAAGCAGAAAAGAAUUUUUUUUUUCCAGUAGAACCAUCAUCACCUCAGCGAUGUUUUGGAAGAUGUAAUAGGAAAAUUCCCAAUGACCUUUAAGAGCAAGGUUAAGAGCUACCUGCACGUGGUUCCUCCUCCCCUUCACAGUGGUUAAGAGUCCUGACGGAUUGUCUUUCUGGCUACUUAUUAGAUGUCAAAACGGUAAGUGGGAAUUGGAUACCCUGUGAACUGGACUGUUGACAAGAGACCCUGUGAAUUUUCAAAGGCAGGUGUUGAUUGGAAAUUUGCGUGGGUUCCCAGCUAGUCUUGUAUACAGAGCCGUCCUGUUCUUCUAGCUAAACGAGGAGAAGCACUUCAACGUUCCCAUUGAUAAAAUGUCUCGCUCUCUGCUUGUAAAAUGUUCUGUGGCUUCUUGGUCAACUGAGUUGAAUAACGACAGGUGUGCGGGGCCACACACGAGCGGAGAUGCGGGAAAGCCUCACUUGCCUGAAUGCGAAGCUGUUUGCAGAGAGAUGGGGAAAGUAAUGUUUGCGUGGGAGAGCUGGAGUCUGCGGGCUUGUGUGUCUUUCCUGUUGGGUUGGAGUGCUGGUAGCUUUUGGUUUCUGUCAAACUAUGCAGCUGAAACCCACGCACUCAAGACAACUCAUGUAGGACUGGAGACAAACUCUAUCCUGUGACUCAGGCUCUUUGUCAAUUUUCGCCACCCACUGUGAGGGCCCCAGUGGACUGCUGAGUACAGACGUGUAUUCUGAUACACGUGUAUUCCUGCCUUCAAAACUUUCCAGCCGUUGCCGACGCUCCACUCAUGGGGCAGUCACUCUGUAAACAUUUGUUAUUUUAUCUUUCUCUUUUUCUCCUCUUUUCUCUCUCUCUCUUUUUAAAUUGAAAUAUACUUGACAUACAAUAUCAUUAGUUUCAGGUGUACUGCGUAAUGGUUUGAUAUUUAUGUACAUUACGAAAUGAUCACUAUGGUAAAUCGAGUAAACAUCUGUCUUUAUAUAAAAUUAGUACAAUAUUACUGACCACAUUCCUCAGGCUGCAUGUUACCCACCCCCAUGAAUGUUUACUAUAUAACUGUAGAUUUGUACCUCAAUCCCUAUCACUUAUUUCAUCCAUCCCCCUCCCUUCCGGCAAGGUGGACAUUCUUGGUCUUCCUUAGAGUAAAACAUGCAAGGAUGGCCUCGUCUUCUCUGCUCUCUUUCUCCCCGUGUGUUCAUUACUAUGAGUGCAAGUUUACAUACAAAUCCCCAGUUUAAGCAGCUCCACAUAACCAUCAGCAGAUCUGCAAAAAGCCCUCAACCAAGUCUAUGCUCUUUCUGACCACUUUUUUGUUUUUCUUUUUUAAUCUCCUCUGGAGAAGACAGGCAAUCAGGAUGACUAAAAGCUGCCUUGGAAGUUAAGCAAAUGAAAAGUGAAUUAAUACCCUGACUAGCCAACCCCAAAGCAGAUCAAGAUGGAAAAAUUCCAUAGUUAUACCAUU